rnacentral:rRNA from 1 species
GAUGAACGCUGGCGGCGUGCCUAAUACAUGCAAGUCGAGCGAACAGACGAGGAGCUUGCUCCUCUGACGUUAGCGGCGGACGGGUGAGUAACACGUGGAUAACCUUCUUAUAAUACUGGGAUAACUUCGGGAAACAGCAGACAAUACUGGCGCAUAUAUUCAACGGCAUGAAUCAAUAGAUCAUGAGGGCUUUGCUGUCACUUUUAGAUGGUUCCGGGUCGCAUUAGCUAGUUGGUAAGGUAACGGCCUACCAAGGCAACGAUGCGUAGCUGACCUGAGAGGGUGAUCGGCCACACUGGAACUGAGACACGGUCCAGACUCCUACGGGAGGCAGCAGUAGGGAAUCUUCCGCAAUGGGCGAAAGCCUGACGGAGCAACGCCGCGUGAGUGAUGAAGGUCUUCGGAUCGUAAAACUCUUUUAUUAGGGAAGAACAAAUGUGUAAGUAACUAUGCACGUCUUGACGGUACCUAAUCAGAAAGCCACGGCUAACUACGUG